UCUGGCAAACAAGCAGAUCAACUGGCAGCUGGUGCUCGCAAGUAAUGGCAAACUGCUGGCAGUCGUUCAGGACCAGUGUGUGGAGAUUAGGUCUGUGAGAGAUGACUUUGGCUCAGUCAUCGGGAAGUGCCAGGUGCCAAAGGACCCAAACCCCCAGUGGAGGAGGGUGGCGUGGAGCCAUGACUGCACCCUGCUGGCCUACGCCGACAGCACCGGCACCACGCGUCUUUUUG